rnacentral:rRNA from 1 species
UACGUAGGGUCCGAGCGUUGUCCGGAAUUACUGGGCGUAAAGAGCUCGUAGGUGGUUUGUCGCGUUGUUCGUGAAAACUCACAGCUCAACUGUGGGCGUGCGGGCGAUACGGGCAGACUUGAGUACUGCAGGGGAGACUGGAAUUCCUGGUGUAGCGGUGGAAUGCGCAGAUAUCAGGAGGAACACCGGUGGCGAAGGCGGUUCUCUGGGCAUUACCUGACGCUGAGGAGCGAAAGUGUGGGGAGCGAACAGG